rnacentral:rRNA from 1 species
AUUGAACGCUGGCGGCAGGCCUAACACAUGCAAGUCGAACGAGUGGCGGACGGGUGAGUAAUGUCUGGGAAACUGCCCGAUGGAGGGGGAUAACUACUGGAAACGGUAGCUAAUACCGCAUACCAUCGGAUGUGCCCAUAUGGGCUUAGCUAGUGGGUGGGGUAACGGCUCACCUAGGCGACGAUCCCUAGCUGGUCUGAGAGGAUGACCAGCCACACGGGAACUGAGACACGGUCCAGACUACUACGGGAGGCAGCAGUGGGGAAGAUUGCACAAUGGGCGCAAGCCUUAUACAGCCAUGCCGCGUGUAUGAAGAAGGCCGUCGGGUUGUAAAGUACUUUCAGCGAGGAGGCGUUACUCGCAGAAGAAGCACCGGCUAACUCCGUGCCAGCAGCCGCGGUAAUAC